rnacentral:misc_RNA from 1 species
CGCACAUUGCGCCCCUUGGUAUUCCGAGGGGCAUGCCUGUUCGAGCGUCAUUGCACCACUCAAGCACUGCUUGGUAUUGGGCGUCGCCCCUGGGCGCGCCCGGAAUUCAGUGGCGGUCCAGCGAGACUUCAAGCGUAAUAAGAUUUUCACAUCCCGCUUCGGAAGCUUCUCGCUGCGUGCCAGCCAAAUAAUUUAUAUCUUAAUGGUUGACCUCGGAUCAGGUAGGGAUACCCGCUGAACUUAA